rnacentral:snoRNA from 1 species
GGCCUCUUGGUACUUAUUACCAAGAGUAUGUGUUCUUACACUGACUGUACAGAAAGAGGAGGGAAAGUAAACUCAUCCCACAUACUCCUGAGCCCAGGGCUUGAGCCUGGUCUGCAUUGUGAGUGGGAAGACAUGG